rnacentral:rRNA from 1 species
UACAGAGGUCCCAAGCGUUGUUCGGAUUCACUGGGCGUAAAGGGUGUGUAGGAGGUGACGUAAGUCAGCUGUGAAAUCCCAGGGCUUAACCCUGGAACUGCAGCCGAUACUGCGUUGCUAGAGGAUCGGAGGGGGAUGCGGAAUUCUCGGUGUAGCAGUGAAAUGCGUAGAUAUCGAGAGGAACACCGGUGGCGAAGGCGGCAUCCUGGACGAUUCCUGACUCUGAAACACGAAAGCUAGGGGAGCAAACGGG